ensembl:miRNA
UUAGGUUGGUGCAAAAGUAACUGUGGUUUUUGCCAUUGAAAGUAAUGGCAAAAACCGCAGUUACUUUUCCAUGAACCUA